UGGGGAAUCUUGCACAAUGGAGGAAACUCUGAUGCAGCGACGCCGCGUGAGCGAUGAAGCCCUUCGGGGUGUAAAGCUCUUUCGACGGGAACGAUAAUGACGGUACCCGGAGAAGAAGCUGCGGCUAACUACGUGCCAGCAGCCGCGGUAAUACGUAGGCAGCAAACGUUGUUCGGAAUUACUGGGCGUAAAGCGUGUGUAGGCGGUUUUGCAAGUUUGGUGUGAAAUCUCCCGGCUUAACUGGGAGGGUGCGCCGAAAACUGCAAGGCUCGAGUACUGGAGAGGAAAGCGGAAUUCCUGGUGUAGCGGUGAAAUGCGUAGAGAUGUGGAAGAACACCGAUGGCGAAGGCAGCUCCCUGGGUUGACACUGACGCUCAUGCACGAAAGCGUGGGGAGCAAACA
rnacentral:rRNA from 1 species